AAUCGAUGCGGCAAUGGAUUCUGCCGGGCCGGAAAUGGCCGAACCGCUUCCCCGAUGAAGCUGAUGACUCCUGCUCAUUU
rnacentral:ncRNA from 1 species